rnacentral:snRNA from 1 species
GUGCUCGCUUCAGCAGCACAUACGCUAAAAUUGGAAUGAUACAGAGAAGAUUAG